GGGCGCGUAGCUCAGCGGUAGAGCACUGCCUUCACACGGCAGGGGCCACAGGUUCAAUCCCUGUCGCGCCCACCA
rnacentral:tRNA from 3 species